rnacentral:rRNA from 1 species
AUUGAACGCUGGCGGCAUGCCUUACACAUGCAAGUCGAACGGCAGCACGGGUGCUUGCACCUGGUGGCGAGUGGCGAACGGGUGAGUAAUACAUCGGAACAUGUCCUGUAGUGGGGAUAGCCCGGCGAAAGCCGGAUUAAUACCGCAUACGGUCUACGGAUGAAAGCGGGGGACCUUCGGGCCUCGCGCUAUAGGGUUGGCCGAUGGCUGAUUAGCUAGUUGGUGGGGUAAAGGCCUACCAAGGCGACGAUCAGUAGCUGGUCUGAGAGGACGACCAGCCACACUGGGACUGAGACACGGCCCAGACUCCUACGGGAGGCAGCAGUGGGGAAUUUUGGACAAUGGGCGAAAGCCUGAUCCAGCAAUGCCGCGUGUGUGAAGAAGGCCUUCGGGUUGUAAAGCACUUUUGUCCGGAAAGAAAUCCUUGGCCCUAAUACGGUCGGGGGAUGACGGUACCGGAAGAAUAAGCACCGGCUAACUACGUG